rnacentral:lncRNA from 1 species
AAUAAAUGCAUUUAUUUAGAUAUAAUGAUAUAUUGUAAAUAUUAUGAAAAAAAGAGGAAACAAACCAUUUAUGUACUUGAAAUACUCACGUGUAUUUUGUUAUUUGUAUAACAGCUGUCAUCUGUCAAAAAUAGUAAAUAUUUACAAGUGUCAGCUGUGAUCAGCUGUGACAUUGUCCACUAAACCUCGUGAAUUUCGUUUAGCCAGCAUUUUAAAGUACCAAAUAAUUUGCAAAAAUAAGAAAUGAAUAAAUAAAUUAAUUUAAAUUUUUAAUAUAAAAUGAGAAAAACAAUUAAACUUAUAAAAAUAUUUUUAAUAAAAUAACACCGGUAUUAAAAAAUUAUAAAUAUUUUCAAGAGGUUAAAGCAAAAUGGCUCCGAAAUUCUAAUCAUUCAAAGCUAAAGGCUUAUUUGCAUAUUGCGUAUGCUGAAUCGUGUUUUUUUGCACACACGCAAUCACACGUAAUAGCGCGACAAUAUCUCUUUUCUCUUUCUCUAGCACUUUCGCAGUUUCUCUCUCUUAUUUUGUUCUAUAGAAUGCUCUCGAACGUUCUCGAAAUUAAAUCACCGGCAUAAUUAUUUUUUUUGCCGGCGCUCGUGUCAGUAUAAUUUCACUUGUUGUUUGUUGUCAACCUGUUGAUUCAGGUGCUCCUGUACCUCGUGCUCCAAGACUUUUAAAACCUGUUAAAACCAACAAAAUAGUGACGUCACUAUCAAAUUAAAUUCAAAUUGAAAACGAAAUUCGAGAGCUUUAAAUUUUUGAAUAUCGCAAAAAUUUAAUAUAUCUCUUAAAAAUGGAUAACUCUGAAGUAACUAUUCAUCCUGGUAAUGAAAGAAACAAUAUUAAAAUUAUUUUUUCGAAACUAUACAAUUUCUGUUGGCCAACAUUGAAGACCCUUCUGUUUGCCAUCAUUUUUAAUUUAUAUUCACGUUCAUUUUAUGAUGAAGUCAAAUUUUAUACAAUUCUCUGUCUGAUUGUGCUCGUCGUCAUGUUCGUAAUGCACAUAUUUAUGAAAUCACUAAUGCCACAGCAUUUGACUGACUUGCAUUGUUUUUUUAUGAUAGUAUUCAUAGUUAUAUGUUUAAUGGUUGUACUUAAUGUCUGUAUCACAAUAUACUAUAUAGACACAAAUGAUUUGGUCUUACAUUUUAUUUUAGAUAUUAUAAUUAAAAAAUAUAUAUCAUCGAAGUAUUAAGACUGUAUUAAAUUCGUACAAUUUUGUAUGAAUUUCUGUCAACCAAAACACCAGCUAUACCAACAGUGCUUUUUUUUUGUCAGGUUCUCUCUAAGGUAAUGGUAAAUGGUAAGAGUUUGUGAUCUAUCUAAAACAUGCAGUAUAAUAAUAUUUAGACAGUUUUAAAAUUAUUUACGUCAUUUACAUAAUUAGAUUAGAAAAAAAAGCUGUGUUCUUAAAUUUCGUGGUCUUUACUUUUGUAGAUAAAUUUUACAAUACUCCAAAGAAAUAAAAUUGUUUAACUACGUAUUCACGAGGUACAGGAUAAAUUAAAAAUCGUAAAAUUAAUUCUACAUAAAUAAAUACCACGAAAAUUAAAUCAAAAUGGUCACAAACUCUUACCCCUACUCCUACCGUUUUUUUUCUAUUAUUUUUAUACGUUCGUAAAAAAAAAAAAAAAAAAUUCAAAAAAAUUUAAAAA